CCUACGGGAGGCAGCAGUGAGGAAUAUUGGUCAAUGGUCGGGAGACUGAACCAGCCAAGCCGCGUGAGGGAUGAAGGUACAGAGUAUCGUAAACCUCUUUUGUCAGGGAACAAAGGCGGGGACGCGUCCCCGGAUGAGUGUACCUGAAGAAAAAGCAUCGGCUAACUCCGUGCCAGCAGCCGCGGUAAUACGGAGGAUGCGAGCGUUAUCCGGAUUUAUUGGGUUUAAAGGGUGCGCAGGCGGUCUGUUAAGUCAGCGGUAAAAGCCGGGGGCUCAACCCCGGCCCGCCGUUGAGACUGGCAGUCUCGAGUUGGAGAGAGGUAUGCGGAAUGCGCGGUGUAGCGGUGAAAUGCAUAGAUAUCGCGCAGAACUCCGAUUGCGAAGGCAGCAUGCCGGCUCCACACUGACGCUGAGGCACGAAAGCGUGGGUAUCGAACAGGAUUAGAUACCCCUGUAGUC
rnacentral:rRNA from 1 species